rnacentral:rRNA from 1 species
UACAGAGGUGGCAAGCGUUGUUCGGAAUUACUGGGCGGAAAGGGCGCGUAGGCGGCCUGUUAAGUCCCGUGUGAAAUCCCUCGGCUCAACCGAGGAACUGCACGGGAAACUGGCGGGCUUGAGGUCGGGAGAGGGAAGCGGAAUUCCGGGUGUAGCGGGGAAAAGCGUAGAUAUCCGGAGGAACCCCGGUGGCGAAGGCGGCUGCCUGGUCCGACACUGACGCUGAGGCGCGAAAGCUAGGGGAGCAAACGGG